GAUGAACGCUGGCGGCGUGCCUAACACAUGCAAGUCGAACGGGGAGCGUAAGCUCCCAGUGGCGAACGGGUGCGUAACACGUCCGCACUGGGCCGACAGCGGGGGACAACCUGGGGAAACCGAGGCUAAUACCCCAUGCGGUGGCAACACCAAAGGCGCGAGCCGCUGUCGGGGAGGCGGGCGGCCUAUCAGGUAGUUGGUGGGGUAACGGCUCACCAAGCCGACGACGGGUAGGGGGCGUGAGAGCGUGGCCCUCCACACGGGGACUGAGACACGG
rnacentral:rRNA from 1 species